CCCGCCGCCUCCUCUGCCGGGGGCGGGGGGGCGCCGCCCCGCGGCGGCGAGCAACCAGCCCCGACAUCUGCCCCCGGGCCCGGCGCCCCGCGGGGAGCCCGGCGCCGGGGCGCUGUACCCCCGCGCAGGGAGCGGGUUGUCCGGCAGCGUUCAGCCCGGCGGCGCCUUGGACCACCACCCGUUCGCCUGCGGGAAGGGAACGGCGCAGCGUCGCCGCAGCACGCGACGGCGGGUUUCCGCGCCCAGUUUGUGCAAGGCGGACGGGUGAUCCCUCGGCGUGCCUCGGGCCGGCGACUGUGAGCCUAAUUAAGAAGGGGAAGAGUCCAAUACGAGGCCCGUGUGAAAGACAUACUAAAACACUUAGCGUGCGGUGCAUCCUGGGGGUUGUAUUCCUCAAUGACCCUUUUAAAGACGCAUCUUCUGAAAUCUCUUGUCAGAGUCUGUGGGGAAGCACAGAUGUUUGCAGAUGUUAGCCAGUACUUGAAAUUAUAUUGCCAAUUCCUUUUGGUGGCAAAGAGCUCAUUUCCCAUUCCAUCCGCACAGCAACUGGAAAUGUAAAUUUAAUGCUGUUCUUUUUUCAGCUCUUUCACUAGAGAUACAAAACCCGGCACAGUUUCAAGGCAACGUGGAAGGCUGUGAAGCUGGAUGAAAUCUUGGAGCGUCUCGAGCACUUUCAACCUCCUCUAAAGCUAACAAGCAGAACCACAUCUUGAACAACGGGAUUGGCACAACAGCUGGGCGGUACAAGGCAGGAGCAGAGCUCAGCAGCAUCAACAAGCUUUUCUGCCACAACAUGCUUAACACAGAACUGCACUCUGAGUUACCGUUUGUUUUGCACUACAUUUAAAUACUGAAGAAUGGUGGCAGGAAAAAUGUUUGUUGUUAUUCUCCGUGUGUUUCUCUAGGCACCAUAAGACAGUCAUUCUCCAGCAAAACUGCAGAGGUAAUUUGGCGAGUUCCACCAAAGAGCAAUUCAGCCCACUUACAAUCUGAAUCAUCUUCUGACAGUGUCUGCCCCUAUCUAGUGACUACACAAGGAGUCCAGAGUGGCUAUGUGACCUGUUGAAAAAGAAAAUGCAUAUCAGAACGUCAAAGCUUUUGAUUGCACAUGGAAUUUCACCCUUCUGUUGAAAUGGCACCAGCUACGUUAAGAUGUCUGUACUAUUCUGCACAGAGCAGAUGUGUCUUUAAAGAAGAAACACAGAGAACACUGCAGUGAAUUCUGAAAGCAUGAAGGUGUAAGACCAGACAACAAAGCAGGAAGCUACACUAUUACCUCAAACAAGUAUAAUUACGUUUUUUUAACACAGAGGACUCAAAAAUUUCUGAAAUCCUUUUCAAAUAAUUAUGACAAGUCUGUACUUCCAGCCAGUAACAGGAUACAGUGAUACUGUAGAAGAUUACUAGAAACUUGUGAUCCUCAUGUAUAAGAACCUCAUGCACAGUAAAUUUAUUUCCAUUUCAUGAUACCUAUUCACGUCAAUGCAAAUUCAAGGGCUUUCAUGCGUAUGAGUAACAGGACCUACAGUGACAGCUGUUUGGAAAGGAAGGCAUAGCCUAGUCAGAGAUUUGCAAUCACACAAAUGUGGAAUAUGCCCAAGAUACUGAGAUGAACAUGAAGAAAAAAGAAAACUCUGAAAUACUUUGAAAGCCUGAAGAAAAUUACUAAACAGAUUACUUUUCUCAUGACAGACUGUUCUGACAACUGUGAUACUAAAUUGUGGCAAAUGAGUAAUUAGGAGACUCAUAUAAUUAUGUAAGCAGACACCUCAGAAAUUAGCGAGCUAAUUAUGAGUUUUGAUUCUCUAUCAGAUUACACCUUUAUAAUUUCUGACUAGUACCUACCAAUUUUUUCCAAUUGUUUAGACACAUGAAGUGAAUUUUCCCAAAGUUUGCAUCUGAAACACUUUGCUAAAAUCAAAGAGUUUAAUAAAGCAGAAAAGUUGUUCUUACAUGAUGCCAGAAAGUCAGAUAACCCUGUAAAAAUAAGAUAUACUUGUAUUAAUCAAAUAAAAUGCAGUUUAUUAUUAUAUGUACCAAAAAAAGGAUUAAAUUUUACCAUACAUCUAGUAACUCUUAAGCCAUUUCUAAAUAUUCUGCCAGUAUCUUGUGUCAAAGUAAAGUCUUGAAUAGGAAUGCAUCCUAACUGAGCCUGAAUAAGACUGGGAAAAAAAAUAUUUUUUGGUA